AUACUCUGGUUUUUCUACAUAUUGCAUAAAGCUUUUGCCUUUUACUAAAGAUUUCUGUGGAGAAGAACAGUUAUGUAUAUAUUCAACUAAUUUUUUUAUUUCGUGCUCUGGCGGGGCU